UUGUUGAGUGUUUUUAUUAUUAAUUUGUCUUAUGUUCGCGGUUUUGGAUCAUUUAGGAUCCUUCGAUUGUACGGAUCUUUACGUUCGGUCAAGGCCGACGGUCUUCAGCUACCAUUAUCGUGUUACGAAUUCGAGGCCGACUUCUUAUCGAGUGCACGUGUCGUCAUACGAUCUUCCAUGUGCUCUCUCUGACCAGACCAGAUCAUUGUUGACUCCAUGGGAUAUUUUCAAGAUUACCCGCAUCUGGCUUAAGUGCGAAUAAAACCGCACUCGUAUCAGCAAAACAACAACGCUUCCCCAAUGGCGGCCGAUCAAUGAACAAAAACCUGGCGUUAUUUAACUCUUUUCAAGAGUUAUAUUCCCCUCGGGAGCUAUGAUUCCCAUACUGGGAGCUAAUAAACUGCUUAGGGAGUGCAAAAACAUUUCCCUUAUGGGAGCUAUAACUGAACUCCUUAGGGAGUGCAAAAACUAUUCCCUUCUGGGAGCUAUUUCCUCUAAAUUAGACUUAUCUUACACAUUCAGAAAUCCUUUAUAAUCAAUAUCUUUGUAAAAUGCAUUUACACCUAUGUUUGUUUCAUGUCCAUAUGACA